rnacentral:rRNA from 1 species
GAUGAACGCUGGCGGCGUGCUUAACACAUGCAAGUCGAACGAUGAAGCCUAGCUUGCUAGGUGGAUUAGUGGCGAACGGGUGAGUAAUACGUGAGCAACCUGCCCCGAACUUUGGGAUAAGCGCUGGAAACGGCGUCUAAUACCGAAUACGCACCAUGGCGGCAUCGUCAAUGGUGGGAAAGAUUUUUCGGUUCGGGAGGGGCUCGCGGCCUAUCAGCUUGUUGGUGAGGUAAUGGCUCACCAAGGCGUCGACGGGUAGCCGGCCUGAGAGGGUGACCGGCCACACUGGGACUGAGACACGGCCCAGACUCCUACGGGAGGCAGCAGUGGGGAAUAUUGCACAAUGGGCGCAAGCCUGAUGCAGCAACGCCGCGUGAGGGAUGACGGCCUUCGGGUUGUAAACCUCUUUUAGUAGGGAAGAAGCGAAAGUGACGGUACCUGCAGAAAAAGCACCGGCUAACUACGUGCCAGCCGCCGCUGUAAGAC